rnacentral:rRNA from 1 species
CUACCAUGGCUUUCACGGGUAACGGAGGAUUAGGGUUCGAUUCCGGAGAGGGAGCCUGAGAACGGCUACCACAUCUAAGGAAGGCAGCAGGCGCGUAAAUUACCCAAUCCUGAUUCAGGGAGGUAGUGACAAGAAAUAACAAGCAGUAGCUUUUUGUUACUGAAUUGAAAUGAGCCGAAUUUACAACUCUUAGUGAGGAUCGAUUGGAGGGCAAGUCUGGUGCCAGCAGCCGCGGUAAUUCCAGCUCCAAUAGCGUAUAUUAAAGUUGUUGCAGUUAAAAAGCUCGUAGUUGGAUUUCUGAUAGGGAGCCGAUCACCACUGUAGUGAGUGUUAGGUACCUGUCAUCCUUCUGUUAACUCUAGCGUCAUUCAUUUGUCGUUGGACGGACCAGAUACUUUACCUUGAGAAAAUUAGAGUGUUUCAGGCAGGCCUAGCCGGAAUACAUUAGCAUGGAAUAAUGGAAUAGGACUAUAGUCUCGUCGUUGGUUACGUGGACUGCAGUAAUGAUUAAUAGGGAUAGUUGGGGGCAUUAGUAUUUAAUAGCUAGAGGUGGAAUUCUCUAAUUUGAUAAAGACUAACUUAUGCGAAAGCAUUUGCCAAGGAUGUUUUCAUUAAUCAA